UAGUCCACGCAGUAAACGAUGAGUGCUAAUCGUCGGGAUCUUGUGUCUCGGUGGUGAAGCUAACGCGUUAAGCACUCCGCCUGGGGAGUACGGCCGCAAGGCUAAAACUCAAAGGAUUUGACGGGGACCCGCACAAGCAGUGGAGCAUGUGGUUUAAUUCGAUGCAACGCGAGAAACCUUACCAGCCCUUGUAUCCUAGUCGCGAUUUCCAGAGAUGGAUUUCUUCAGUUCGGCUGGACUAGUGACAGGUGUUGCAUGGCUGUCGUCAGCUCGUGUCGUGAGAUGUUAGGUUAAGUCCUUCAACGAGCGCAACCCUCAUCCUUAUUUGCCAUCGGGUUAUGCCGGGAACUAUAAGGAAACUGCCAACGACAAGUUGGAGGAAGGUGGGGAUGAUGUCAAGUCAUCAUGGCCCUUAUGGGCUGGGCUACACACAUGCUACAAUGGCGACUACAACGGGCUAGCAAAGGAGCAAUCCGGAGCCAAUCCUUCAAAAGUCGU
rnacentral:rRNA from 1 species